AAUGAACGCUGGCGGCGUGCCUAACACAUGCAAGUCGUGCGCGAACGGGGCUUCGGCUCCUAGUAGAGCGGCGAACGGGUGAGUAACACGUGGGUAACCUGCCUGGGAGUGGGGAAUAACCUGGGGAAACUCGGGCUAAUACCGCAUACGUUCCCGGAGCUACGGCUCCGGGAAGAAAGAUGGCCUCUGCUUGCAAGCCAUCGCCCCCAGAGGGGCCCGCGGCUGAUUAGCUAGUUGGUGAGGUAACGGCCCACCAAGGCGACGAUCAGUAGCCGGCCUGAGAGGGUGAUCGGCCACACUGGAACUGAGACACGGUCCAGACUCCUACGGGAGGCAGCAGUGGGGAAUAUUGGACAAUGGGGGAAACCCUGAUCCAGCAACGCCGCGUGGGGGAUGAAGGUCUUCGGAUUGUAAACCCCUGUUGAGAGGGACGAAGGCUUCCGGGCGAACAGUCCGGAAGCUUGACGGUACCUCGAGAGGAAGCCCCGGCUAACUCUGUGCCAGCCGCCGCAGUAACAC
rnacentral:rRNA from 1 species